AUUGAACGCUGGCGGCAUGCCUAACACAUGCAAGUCGAACGAGUGGCGGACGGGUGAGUAAUGUAGUGGCAACUGCCUGAUGUAGGGGGAUACCUACUGGAAACGUUAGCUAAUACCGCAUACCGUCGGAUGUGCCCAGAUGGGAUUAGCUAGUAGGUGAGGUAAAGGCUCACCGAGGCGACGAUCCCUAGCUGGCCUGAGAGGCUGACCAGCCACACUGGAACUGAGACACGGUCCAGACUCCUACGGGAGGCAGCAGUGGGGAAUAUUGCACAAUGGGCGCAAGUCUGACGCAGCAACGCCGCGUGUAUGAAGAAGGUUUUCGGGUUGUAAAGUACUGUCGGCGGGGAGGCGGUACCCAACGAAGAAGCACCGGCUAACUCCGUGCCAGCAGCCGCGGUAAUUC
rnacentral:rRNA from 1 species